AACGCACAUUGCGCCCGCCCCCCCAUGGGGGUGGGUAUGCCUGUCCGAGCGUCGUCCCGACCCUCAAGCCCGGCUUGGUGUUGGGGACCCGCGCGCCGCGCGGCCCCCGAAACGCAGUGGCGGCCUCGACCGCGGCCCGAGCGCAGUAACGUCUCGCCGGGAGCCGCCGGGAGGGAUGCCUGCCGUGAAAAGACCCACGCGGAAACGCAGCCACAGCGACCUCGGAUCAGGUAGGAAUACCCGCUGAACUUAA
rnacentral:misc_RNA from 1 species